rnacentral:misc_RNA from 1 species
UUUGUUGUCGGCUUCCGUGCAGGCCAGAGUGAAGGGGGGUUCAGGGUAGGUACAGGGUAGGCAGCUUAGAUUUGGUCGAUCUGGAGGUCGAUUCUCCGGCUGGCGGAUCUGACACUGUCGAAACGAGAUGCGAGCGGUGUAGGGUAGGCUAGUUUCGUCCUCGCCAGGUUGCGAUUUGGACGAGAUAUGUGGUCUAGGGUAGGCUCUAGGGUAAGUAGAAUUCUAGUUUCGUCGCCGACAGUUUUCUUUGGGUGUAUGGUAGGUACAGGGUAGGCAAAUCUCUCUCCGGCCAGUACUUGUCUGGUGGUCGUGAGUCGAUUUUUUUGUUUUGCCAUACUAUUGAAUUUUGCGGAAAUUCAAAAGUGGCUCGGGAGUCCCGCCUGGCGUGCGUCCGACUCGAACAUCGUCGGUAUACAUAUGAGAGGGAGUAAUCCGGCCCGGCCGGGGCCCAUCGCGAGCUGCCGGGUAGGUAAAAGUAAAAAAGUUGUUAAGAGGCGCGGUGUCGGCGUGCUUGUAUUUGCGGGAGAGAAUUAUCUGGGGGUGCUGGGUAGCCGGGAAGACUUGGACGGAUCUGGCCCGGGAAUGGGUCUGGGCCUGGAUUCUGGUGUGGUGUAGGGUAGGCGUAGAUAGAUGAGUGGUCUAGGGUAGAUACAGGGUAGCCAGACGUCUGGUAUAUAGUAUGGGGGUGCAGGGUAGGUCUGGACACCGUUUUCCACUUCGCCCUUCCCUUUAGUCGAGGGAGGACGAUCUUGGCUGGGACGGAGGUGUAGGGUAGGCUUAAUUUACGAUUACAUGAUCUGUGUCACUCUAGGGUAGGUGAAAAUCCCAUAUAUAUCUGAUCACAUUUGGUGAAGAGGUGGUUUGGCUGGUGGGAUGGACAAAAGUGCAAUGUAGAAUUAUAUGUGAUUUUGCAAAAGUGGGUGUGAAAUUGGAAAGUCGGUUUUCCCGCACAGAUGAGAGCACGUUUGAGGUGCCAUGAGAUGCACCUCUCCGAGACGACCUCAACGGUACCACCCAUGUGUUGGUCGGGCUCCUGUGCGGCCGUCCAGGGCGGGAUAAGUAGAGGAUGUGGUGGUGUAGGGUAGGUGACCAGGUCCAGGGUAGGUUCGCCAAAUCAGUCAAUCCGGCUUGAAUCGAAGGACAGGUCUAGGGUAGGCCAGAGUCGGGUCUAGGGUAGGCAACCCUCACCAUCGAAGUGGUCUACCCGGUAGCCAACUUCAAUCGCCUCUCACGGCCGCCACGGACCUCGAAUGACGAUGGGACUACCACCAUCGGACUCGCCUUGGUCGAAAUAGCUGGUAUAUGCACUUUUGAAAAAAUGCGUGCAAAAUGGUUUUGUGGUUUGGUGGCCGUGAGUCGAUUUUUUUGUUUUCCCAUACAAAUGAAUUUUGCGGAAAAUAAAAAGUGGCCCACGAGGCAGUCAUGCGU